rnacentral:rRNA from 1 species
ACGGUGGAUGCCCUGGCAGUCAGAGGCGAUGAAGGGCGUGCUAAUCUGCGAUAAGCGCCGGUAAGGUGAUAUGAACCGUUAUAACCGGCGAUACCCGAAUGGGGAAACCCAGUGUGAUUCGUCACACUAUCAUUAACUGAAUCCAUAGGUUAAUGAGGCGAACCGGGGGAACUGAAACAUCUAAGUACCCCGAGGAAAAGAAAUCAACCGAGAUUCCCCCAGUAGCGGCGAGCGAACGGGGAGGAGCCCAGAGCCUGAAUCAGCAUGUGUGUUAGUGGAAGCGUCUGGAAAGGCGCGCGAUACAGGGUGACAGCCCCGUACACAAAAGCGCAUGUGCUGUGAGCUCGAUGAGUAGGGCGGGACACGUGGUAUCCUGUCUGAAUAUGGGGGGACCAUCCUCCAAGGCUAAAUACUCCUGACUGACCGAUAGUGAACCAGUACCGUGAGGGAAAGGCGAAAAGAACCCCGGCGAGGGGAGUGAAAAAGAACCUGAAACCGUGUACGUACAAGCAGUGGGAGCACCCUUUGGGUGUGACUGCGUACCUUUUGUAUAAUGGGUCAGCGACUUAUAUUCUGUAGC